CAUAUGUUUUUCUAAUUUUCUCAAGCCUUAAAUUUGUUCCCUCCCUUCUUCCCUAUGCCUUCAUCAUCUCUGCAUCUGAUUUUCUCGCAAGCCUUAGUUGUUCUCUCCCUUCCUCGCAUCACAUUCUUCAAACCCUAGUUGUUCUCUCCCUUCCCCACACCACAUUCUUCAGACCUAGUUGUUCCUCCCUUCCCUACAAGCCCUAACUCUUAUUGUUCGUGGAACUCUUCGGUUUGGGUUCGGCUUGGUCUUCCAUUGCUUAAGAAAGAAAACUUGGUGCAUUUGUGGGCUGAGCGAGGUCGACCAUCAAGGUAUUGUUCGUCGGAGUUCCGGAUGCCUCCAAUCGAGGGGCUCUGGCAUGUGUUCACUCUCGCACUGACCAUCAAGGGAUAAGAUAAAGCACCUAAAACCCUUCCCACGAAGAAAUUAUGGAAACUUUGGCACCUCUUAAUCUAAUUCUGCAAGAAGAGGAGGCAAGGAAGCUUGGAUCCUCAUAGCACAGAGAUAGUGUUAGACUGAGAACAGGCCCAAGUUGACAAUUUCGUAAAGAAACUUGGAUAGGUUCCAG